AGGCCGCGCGGGACACGCUUCCCUGGACACAGCCGCUUAUGAUUCGCUUAAGACGGGGAGGCGUGAACAGACCGCUGGAAGGGAAGAAAUGUUAACUCCUGAGUAGGGACGAUCACUAAGGGAGAUGAGUCAAGUCAGUGAGCCUUUCUUAUCCAAGUCAGCACUCCUCCCUUCUCUCUCUGCUUCCUGGCUACCAUGAGGCAAGCAGCCUUUCCAUACCAGGCUCUUCCACCAUGAUGUUCCUGCUUUGGAGCCAGCUGACCAUGGACUGAACCCUCUGAAACUAAGUCUUGCUUCCAAGGGAGGAAAGAACCAGGAGGCACAGCACCAAUUCCAUGGCAUGGGAAGUGAGGGCUUCUACUUGAUCACUUGAGGAUCCUCAUAUCUCAGAACCAGCAGGAGAGGGCGCGGUGUCCCUUCACUCCGGAGGAAGCAGAGCCCGGACAAAGGCCCCGCCGGCACCUUUGCGGAGGACCUCACAGCCCCGUGGAGUGGGUUUCUGUUCUUCAUCAAUCACGCAGUCCAGGCAUCUGGAAAGCGGCGCCAGUGAACAGACACGAGCCUGUGUGUGGCCCUGGGGCUGAUCAGAGUUGGGUAAAGGCCUGCGCCUGUGCCCUGGCCUGGGCACCUGAAGGACAUUUUCCUCGCCUGUCUUUGCAAACCCACCUCUGCAGGGGCAGAGCACAGCGCGCUCACAGGCGCAGAGCACAGUCCCUACGGCGCGGGUGUCACAUCACAAUCCCACUGUACAUACUCCAAGGGACCAAAGAGCCACGUGCAAAACGUGCUCUACUGCGAGGUCAAUGAAAUAAAUGCUGGGGCCAGCCCAGGUCGUGAGCUGUUCGUUUGUUUCUGGGGUCAGUGUUUCACUCUGUCGUUCAAAUUGGCCAUGAACUCGAGACGAUCCUCCUGCCUCAGCCUCCUGAGUGCUGGGAUUGCAGGUCUGGGCCACCAUGCGCCACCCCAGGUUACGAU
rnacentral:lncRNA from 1 species